UCAAAGAGGAAAUAUACAAUGACUUUAAUAAAUUGUGAUUGUGAAGUGCAAUAUUUCUUUACUUUAUUAGACUGUACAAAAAACAAAGUUAAGAAAUGGAUACUAGAGCAGAAAAGCCAGGAAAACCAUUAAUUAAUAGGUGAAGUAAUGAAAGAAGCAAAGACCUCAGCAAUCCAAUUGUCAUACUAGCAUCAAUCUUUAGAUGACAGAAUGGGAUUGCAGUUCUUUAAUUUUCACAUUCCUGCAAUAUCUUUACAGUUCCAAUAAUCAUUUUGAAACUUCAAGCUCUGUUAUCUCCACAAAAUUAUCCACUCGUAUAGUUUCAAAACCAGUUAAGAUUACAGAAAACUGACAAAUGAAUGAAGGGAAGUAACUAAAUGUUGUUGCUCCUUUGUAAAACCGCUGUCUAUUAGCUCUGCUGCUGUUCUUUGCUGCAGAUUGUAUUUAAGUAGUGCACAGAUUUCUAUCUUUUGGAUCCUUAAAAAUUUUCUUACUCUGAAUGCAGACUAAUUACAUUUCUCCACCUUGAGAAAAAAGAGGAUCUUGAAUUAUCUGUCCUGGGAAAUCUUGACACAACAUAGCAUUUCCCAUCAACUAAUCAUCAAUAUCUAGCAGUGAUAUCUGCAAAACAAAAAGUUGCUAAAAUUUAAGAUGACCUAAUCAAAAGCUAAUAUUUAAGAAUAAUAUGAACGAGAUGAAGAGAGAUAAUAUCCCUUGAGCAGCUUUUGGAAUGAUCCAAUAUGGUAGCAACUCAAUUUACGUUUAGAGCCACAAAUCAUUUUCAUUAAGUUAUUGGAAAUAGUGACUUCUUUUAUAACAGUCAAAUCAAUGUUAAUUGUCUGUGCUGUUAUCUAUCAGGUUUCCAAAUGAAGUGCAUGCAGUUGUCGUGCAUGCUAGACAGCAAACGUAGCACCACAUUAUAAGUGGAAUUUGUCAAUCAUCAUUCAGGACUGCCUUCAUUAAGGUUCUUAAUGAUAAGUUUGAGUUGUAUAAUUCAAAGGACUUAAUCGGAUGUUAAACAUUGAUUGCAAGAUGGUAGUGGUACUGUGUUUAAUUGAAUGUUAAGCAACAGUGAGUUGUACCAUGUAUAAACUAAUAAGCUUGUACAAUCCAAGAAACAGCUAGAAGGUGCACAAAUCACACUUAAACAAAUUAUAACAACUGACACUUUGGAUACUUUUUUAUAGAAGUCGUGUUUUUGUCAUACUCUUUGACUUACAGACAGUACCCUAACUUUAAGAUAAUUUCCAAAAAAAUGAAUCCCUCUCAAUUUUUGGAUGGAAAAAGUCAAGUACUUUACACAUGACACAUUUGUCAGCCUUUUGACAGUUCGUAGUCCAUUUUCAUGAUUUCAUCUAUGAAUAAUUUUUGGAGGAAAUAAAAUCAUCAAUUGACUCCAAAAUCUGUUGGUUACCUCUAACAUGCAUACAAAUUACCAGCUUACUUUCAUUACUACAUUAAGAUGAUUUAAAACUACAUGUAUAUAAGAGGUAAUGGGUAGAUUUUGGAGCUAAUUACAGGAUCUUAUCACCUCUAGAAUAUAUUUAUAGAUAAAACAGAUUUUGAACCCUCAAAAUAUCUGAAAAAAUUAUGCUUAAGGCACAUGGCUUCUAGCUGACACAAAAUUUACAUUGUUAAAGGGAGGUAAUGUUUUUGUGGAUCAUUUUUAAGCAGAGCAUUAUAUGCUUAUAGAAAAGUAUAAGAAAGAAUACAGGAUCCUAAUAAAUUAGGUACCAAAAGUGCAAUCGGAUCAACAAAUGACGUAAACCUCUACUGGAGUUAAGGGGCUGAAACAGAGGAGAAGUCAGGGAUCUCUUAUUGAGACUCACAUUUAAAAGGCUCAUCUAGAAAGAAUUGUGCAAGAGGAAACUAGGUAGGUUCUGGAAAUGGAAAGAGUAUAAAUUGGCAGAAGAACCGCAAACGUAGAUAUCACCACAUCAUUUUCGACCAAUAGGGAGCUCUGACAAAGAUAAAGUACAAACCUGAUAUAUGCCACUGCUAGCAGCCAGUCUCCCCAUCUAAGGCCAAGUUCAUAGGAAAUGUACUAGAGAGGAUAGCGAUUCAUGCUGAAAAAAGAUGUUUACUGAAAAUCUAGAGUCAAAAACUUUUUCUUCAGUGGAUAAAGCUGAACAUGAUACUAGUAAGAAACAGCUAUGUGGAUCUAAGCCAUGCUAUAGUUGAGAAUCUAAUAUAGUGGAUCGAAGGAUCUCUAACCAACAGGUAAUCAAGUUUGACGAGAGGUAACUCCAUAGCAGGCUCAUCUUAAAACAACUGUAAAAACUGGCAACUUAAGGUAGCUGGUUACCCUUAGAAGGUAUCAAGAAUACAUCUAUGCUCCCUUUGGAUCAACUAAAGCUCCACAAGACAGGGGAAAAUUUGAAAUCUGCUAUUUCAAUUUCAAGCUACAAUUAUCCUUAUAAAGAAAAUGGUAAGUUAGAGCGAAGCAAAACCAUUAAUAUCUUCUAGCAAAUAUGAGAUCUGCACUGGUGAAGGCGCAUGUUUACUUCUAUAAAUGUAACAUGUUUACUCGAAAUCUGCAUAGGUGAACAGCAAGCUUUGAACUACCAUUAUUUGGACAUAACUUAGCUUCUCAGUGACAAGCAAGGAGAUUUUAAUUAUGACACUUUAUUGGUACUUUCAUUAAUUAAGUGCCAAAACCAAAUUUCAUACUAAAUUACUUUAGAUCUAUCACUUGCAAUAAUAUUUCAAAUUCCAGCCAUUAAAACAAUCUAUAAUCUCAUUUUCAUACAGACUGAAAGGUUACCCGGAGUAGAGUCUCAUC
rnacentral:lncRNA from 1 species